rnacentral:tRNA from 1 species
CGGAAAUAGCUCAGUUGGUAGAGCGCAACCUUGCCAAGGUUGAGGUCGCGGGUCCGAAUCCCGUUUUCCG